ACAGUGGCGAACGGGUGAGUAACACGUUGGUGACCUGCCCCGAGGUGGGGAAUAACUGUGGGAAACCACGGCUAAUACCCCGGAUGUUAAAGAGUUUAGACAUCUUUAACUAAAGUUCCGGCGCCUCGGGAGGGGCCUGCGGGCUAUCAGCUUGUUGGUGGGGUAACGGCCUACCAAGGCUAAGACGGCUAGGGGGCGUGAGAGCGCGACCCCCCACAAUGGAACUGAGAAACGGUCCAUACUCCUACGGGAGGCAGCAGUGAGGAAUAUUGCACAAUGGGGGAAACCCUGAUGCAGCAACGCCGCGUGAACGAUGAAGGCCUUCGGGUUGUAAAGUUCUUUUCUGGGGGACGAUAGUGACGGUACCUCAGGAAUAAGUCCCGGCUAACUACGUGCCAGCAGCCGCGGUAAAACGUAGGGGGCGAGCGUUAUCCGGAUUUAUUGGGCGUAAAGCGCAAGUAGGCAGCGUUGUAAGUUGGACGUGAAGGCUCCCGGCUCAACUGGGAGAGGUCGUUCAAAACUACAGUGCUCGAGGUUGGAAGAGGAGAGUAGAAUUCCCGGUGUAGUGGUGGAAUGCGUAGAUAUCGGGAGGAAUACCAGUGGCGAAAGCGACUCUCUGGUCCA
rnacentral:rRNA from 1 species